GCCGCCGGUGAGAGAAGGCGGCUCACUGACGGGAGGGGGGGCGGGGGGGGGGAAAGGCAGCGCGAGGCGCGCGGACAGCGGCACGCGCCGACCCGCGCACGCCCCCGCCCCCGCGCGGCGUAAGACGGAGGCGGCGCCGGGGCCGUGGAGGGCAGCGCCCCGCCGCGGGAGGGGCGGCCGGCGAGGCGCGGCGCACCUGCGAGCCGCGGGGGGCCGAGGGGGGCGGGCGACGAGAGGCGACCGGAGGCGCGGAGCGAGCCGGCGCCCGCGCAGCCCGCCCCGGCGUGCCCAGGCGCCGCGGCCCCGAGGCGAUGGAGCAGGAGAAGUACCUGCCCGAGCUGAUGGCCGAGAAGGACAGCCUGGACCCCUCCUUUGUUCACGCGAUGCGCCUCCUCGCAGACGAAAUUGAAAAAUUUCAGGGUUCUGAAGGCAAGAAGGAAGAUGAAGAAAAGAAAUAUCUUGAUGUUAUCAGCAACAAAAAUAUAAAGCUGUCAGAAAGAGUUCUGAUCCCCGUCAAACAAUAUCCAAAGUUCAAUUUUGUUGGCAAAUUGCUUGGACCAAGAGGAAACUCCUUGAAGAGGUUACAAGAAGAAACAGGUGCAAAAAUGUCCAUCCUGGGGAAAGGAUCCAUGAGGGAUAAAGCUAAGGAGGAAGAACUAAGAAAAAGUGGAGAAGCCAAAUAUGCACACUUGAGUGAUGAGCUUCAUGUAUUAAUUGAAGUGUUUGCUCCACCUGGGGAAGCGUAUUCUCGUAUGAGUCAUGCCUUGGAAGAAAUAAAAAAAUUCCUCGUUCCUGAUUAUAAUGAUGAAAUUCGCCAGGAGCAGCUGAGAGAACUGUCAUAUUUAAAUGGUUCUGAGGAUUCAGCACGUGGACGGGGCAUUCGAGGAAGAGGGAUCCGUGUGCCACCUGCAGCUCCUUCAAGGGGACGUGGGGGUGCGAUUCCUCCGCCCCCACCUGGACGAGGUGCCCAAGCACCCAGAGGAGCGCCGGUGACCCGUGGAGCCCUCCCCGUCCCACCAGUGGCAAGGGGCGUUCCCACCCCUCGAGCAAGGGGCACCCCGGCUGUCCCAGGCUACAGACCACCCCCGCCACCUGCACACGAGGCCUAUGAAGAAUAUGGAUAUGAUGAUGGAUAUGGGGGUGAAUAUGACGAUCCAAGCUAUGAGGCAUACGAUAACAGUUAUGCCACCCAAACACAAAGUGUGCCUGAAUAUUAUGACUAUGGUCACGGAACAAGCGAAGAGGCUUAUGACAGCUAUGCACAAGAAGAAUGGGCCACAACCCGUUCCAGCCUAAAGGCACCGCCUCCAAGGUCAGCCAGAGGGGGUUACAGGGAACACCCCUAUGGUAGAUAUUGAAGGUCCUCCUCAUCUGUGACCUCAUCUCAAAGACAAUUAAUAGCCUGUGGUCUCCACAUAAACAGCAACAAGACAAGGACUCACAGGCACUGGACAGCAAAGCAGCAGAUCUGCUGAGAAGUGGACAGAUUUUUGGAGACUUAGGGGGAAGUACUGUACCUUUUGAACGGUGUUCAGAGAAAUGAGCGCGUUCAGCAUCAUUUGCAAUACAUCAGUGGGAUCUGAAGAACUGAGCCUCAGGUUGGGACUCUUCACAGCCCUGAGUUCUGGACCUGCCAUUACAAACCUCAACAGGAUAUGGUGGCACUCAGACUUACAGUGAUCUUCCAGUCUAUCAGGUGAGCUGUGGUAUUUGUCUGUAUGGGUUUAGUUUAUGUCAAAUGUGAGAUAAUUCAUCUUACCUCAGUCUGAAAAAAAUAGGAUUAUUUUAAACCAGUUCACCUUAUGUUUGCCAUUGGAAGAGAGCUCAUACACAGUUACCUAUGAUGCAUGUUAGUUUGAGACAGGAUAGUCUGAAAAUGUAUGUAAAUUCUUAUGUUCUCUUUCUGUGGUAAAUAAUAUUUAAUCAUCUUUCUCACAGAAGUAACAUAAAAAUAAUCAAACUAUAUUUGUGCAGUGGGUUGAACAUAGAAAUAGGUUUUAAAAAUGCCAAAUAUUUGGAGAAAUCAUCUCCUUUGGAUUAGCUAACUCAUUGAGGUGGUCCUGGUAAAAUCAAAUUUUGCAGAUUCUGGGGGUUUUUUUGCUCUUUCUUUGCUUGUUCAUCUAGAAGAACUUUGGUAUCCUCAUGACCUGUUGUGAACAUACACUUAUUAAAAUGUCUAAGGCUCAGUUACUGUAGCAUUGUCACUACAAACUAUGAAAACCUGUAAGAAAGUAAAUAAAAGUAUACCAGAGGACAUCUGGGUGGAAAACAGUAAACAAAAACCAGUCAUACCACUAAGGUUUAAGACAGAUACAAAUACUUAAUUCAAUCUCAUAUCCAGAAUAAAUUAGGUCUUGCAGAGAGAAGGGUAGCAAAAGGUCCUGUGAUUAAAGGCUACGUCCUCUUGUAUAUACUGAAGAACAUCAUCUAAUUAUAUUGGAAAGUAGAAAUCUAACAUUUCCUGAAUCUUCCAAACUAAAUACUUAUAUGGAAGUUGUAUUUUUCUGUAAUAAGCUUAUUUAUAGCCAUAUGUCACAUAAAAAUACAGUUACUGCGUUUAGUUAUUAGGGUUUGUUCCUUCAGCAAACAGCAUGUGAAACAAAAGGCCACUUUAAGUCUUUGUUGAUGGUAGCUAGCAAAAGCAGUACCAAUAGCUAAUGUGGAGAUACUCUCCUGGCAGACUCCAUACAGUGGCAGCAGAAAUACCCACCUCAAUCCUGUACACACCAUCACUUCCCACACUUCUGGUGCAACCACAGUCCUUCCCUUGAUUCUUCUGACCGUACACCAGAAAACGCACUGGAACCUUAGUCUCCUGCACUGCAGAACAGCAUGGUCCUCUUACAGGAUUCCAUUCCUUGUCAUCAUGUGUUCUGAAUGUGAUGACACUUUUCUGCCUGUGCUAUUUUUGGAUUUGUUCUCUGCAAAUGGUGAUAAAACUUUGAACUAUGUCUUGCUUUAGAUGUAGAUUUUUCUCUACAGAGAAAGAGCUAAGAGGAUGUGGCCAAAAGCUAUUCAAACCUAACAUGUUUCUAGACUAGAGAAGAAAAAAAAUAUGUAUUUUUCAACAUUCCUCCCACUAGCUAGAGCUGGAAAUAAACCCUAGGUCACAGUACUCACACUCCAGUUUGAACUGGGAUGCGAGAUAAAGAAAUGAGUGAAAAUUUGCAGGUUUCUUAAGGCUUUACUUAGAUUACAGCUAAGUGUGUUUACAUUGUAGAUAAUAAUCUAAGGCUCUUAGAAGUGUUUUUCACAUUAUAUCAAUGUGGAAUAAGAAGAUUGAUGCCUCUAUUGGCAUUUGUGCUUUGCACAUAGCAGAUGGAAGGAGAAGGGGGAAGCUGUUUGCUCUGCUUCACAAAGAAUGCUAUUCAUCAAAACCAAAAUACCUGUACUUAUACCCCAGUCUCAACCAUUGGACUACAUUUCCUAAAGUGGCUUAAAAGUGAGGCAUGGAAGUAGGUGAUCAUUUUCAUUCUUUGCCUAAAGAAAAUGUUGUAGUGUUCUUGGAAACUCAGCGUAGCGAUUCCUUUUGGCUUGAUAACUUCAGAGUUUAAUAAGUGAAAAAAGUGAUUCAGGAGUGUGGAGGACUCUACUUAUAUUUCUAGAAAGUGAACAGAAAUCUGCGGAGGAAGAAAGGGAAUUCCGUUUUUUCCCUGUCUAAGAAAGCCAGUACUUCAUAGUAAAAUACCAAGUUUCACCUGCUUUCAUGACUUCCUUUACUGUUUCUGACUUUCCUGUUUUUCAGUUAUAUAUAUAUGUAUGUGCAUAUAUACUCAAUUCAGGUCCAAAGGGCAAUUUAGCCCCUUUCAGGUACGUGUCAAAAACAAGUGGGAUGAAAUGGCCUCUGCUGUUUAGAAAAUGAGACUAGAUGCCUAGUGUAGACUACGUAGCUGUCUUUUAGAUAAUUGAGGUUGGGUGAAAGUAAUCCCGACCUUAAUAAUCAGACUUUUAAGGAAAAGAAUUUUAAAUUUCAGUUAUGGGAGAUACAUUAAAAGCUACAGGUUAUGUUUAUCAUAUCGUAAUAUUAAGUUGUGUAGAGCUGGGGGAACACAAGGCUUGACACAUGCUUGUCUUUGGAGUUUGAGGUAAGCCUGGUCUGUGCCUGAUGCUCUUCAACGGAGCAAGAGGUUGAGAAGUGGGCAUAGAGAAGCACGGCCUGAUGCAGAAGAGCUUUUGCUGUGAUAGAACAAGCUGUUCAGGCCUUCUCUUUGAGCUCCCCACGUGCAGCAUUCACCGCAUGGAAACUGCCCUGUGGAGUUUCCCAGAAGUCGAUUUUCUGUACUUCUAUAACCUUUGCUAAUUCUUUCCUCUCAUGGCUUUGUUGUUGGACUGCGUGUUUAUUAAAGGAAUGUGAUUUGCUUAGCAGGUACUUGUGUUAAUAACCCUCAAUAUUUUCAAAACACAGAAACUUCCAUCAGUAUUGGAGCACUGGAGACAUACUUUUGUCUUCAGAAGUGCUGAAAACCUGCAGCUUUCACAAGCCUCAGCUUCAGGUUCUCGAAGAUCAGGAGUCAUCAUCGGUACACAAGAUCUACAUAUUCUCACCCAAAACACCUUUUUUGAACCUCUUGUCUUGCAUCUUUAUACAGAUACUGUGGAAAUUAAUAUAUUACAGAUUUUGAGACAGACAGCUGGUAUUAUUGAAAAGCAAAGAAAUACUGAAGACGCAUAGAUUACACUAAUAUCUCACUAAUAGCUUGAAUUGCAGCUGAAGUGAGCCUACUUUAUUUUCCUAAAAGCAUCCCUGAUGACUGGGAUAUGUUGCUGUACUCAUGCACUGUAGUGGUGGUCUGUGAAAACAGGUAAGCAAAUAAGAAGAUAAAUUGUAGAUAUAUAUGGAUUUUUCUAAAGGUAGGUAGAAUUAAGUGUUGGAGAAUAUUCAGCCUGAAGCUAAUAGAUAAAAGGCACUGUGGACCAUACUGGUAAUAAAUACAUUAAGCUGUUAGUUAAUCAUAGAUCUUGCUGGUGAGUUCUGUAGCUACAUCUCUAACUGCUCUGCAGCAUGUAGAUUCGGGUGACUACACACUCCUUAUAACACUGAUACAGAGACAAGUGGUUAGUUAGGGUCAAAUCUAGCCUUUAGGCUGUGUCCUGAACUCUCUUUUCUCUGAAAAUCAAAUGUUAUUUUUAGCUUUUAUUGACCCAACCAUCUGACCACUCAGCAUUAGUUUCUGGUCAAACGCACUUCUCACCCUCUAUGUCUAUACCGACUGACCAAAGAAGUUGUGUUCUUCAGACAUUAAAUGGAUUUUUAUUACUGAGGUCCACAGUGCAGAUCACUGGAAGUUAUGUAAUAAUGUGGAAGGACAUGUAAUUGAAAGGCUGUCAGAAGAUAAAAGUGUAUCAAGCUUCCCAGAGCGUUCACAUCGCAACUCACAAAGUCAGAUGACAUUGAAAUAGCAACUCAGUGUUUAAUGCAUGCACCUCUGGUGGCUGUGCAUCACAAAGUCUGUAGCAUAAAAUUUCAUACCCGAGUUUUCCAUUAAAGAAGUUAGCUGUUGCAUUUCUGAAUAACUUUCUUUCUAGCUCAACUUACCUGCUGAGGACACAGUACUUUGUCCUUGAGUAGGCAGGAUUGCUUUCAUCUUACUCUUCCCACUGGAGCAGAGAGGAUGUAAAGUGUAAGUACAUAUGGAGCAAUGCACACGUGAGUAAUUGCAACACAGGCAUAUAUUAUUAUUGGAUUUUUUUAAAAUGUCAAGCAAUAAUGCAUGAGAAAUAAAAGUAAGUCUGUAACCAUCCUGAAAUUCUCCUAAAUGUGCAGUAACGCCAUAAAAGAUGCCUGUAUUUACUACAAAUAAUAAAACUGUAGCAUCAUGCUAAUCAAAUUCAAAUCAGUUCAACUGCAUAAUUUGCAGUGAAGAGGUGCUUAUGAAACACAAAAUGAACUCCAGAAUGGAAGGUUCAUUGCUUCCUAAUCAAAAGCAGUCAGCUCUAAACACCAGCCAGUCAGGUGACAAGUUUGUCAUUUCUCAGCUGUACUCUUGGAGGGAAGUUACCAAGAAGGCUUGACAGCCUUUAAACUUCACAGAGCAUUUUUCGCCUAUUUCUGAAUGUCAUGUUGAUCUACAAAAACUCCUGGGAGGCUGGAAGGAGAGGCAGAAUAACAGCAGUUCUAUUAAAAUAUAUUUGCAGCAAUGAAUGUCAAGCAGAGUUUAUGGUGUGAAAAAACCGUAUAGUUUCUGAAAAGAAAUUUUCACCACCCCUCAAGUCUGGUUCUUUCUUGUCUAAUUGUGUCCAGCUACUCUGGGGGACUGAGGAGUGCCAAUGAUUAAUUGCCUAGGUGUCAGAGAAGUACAGGUUGGUAAUGCAUCAUUAAAAGCCAGAGAUCAGGGUGUCUGAAUUCAAAUGGGAAUCUCCGAGUGAAUAUAUUACUACUAUAUACAAUUAAAAGCUCAAACCAGAAAUCAUUUACUUUCAUAAUUUAGAACAAUGGCAGCUCUCCAGUGAAAACAUAUUUACAGUAGUUUUACAUAGCUCUCUACAGGCUUAGUACAAAAGGUAGGGACAAAAAUUAGUAUGCACCAAGGUGGUAGCAGAGAAACCCAUCUUUGAGCCAUUCUUUCCUUUUCAUCAGCAUGAGCUCUGCAAAAUAGGGGAAAGAAUUAUGAGUAGGUGGACAGCAUCUAGGUUGCCAAGGGCAAAUCACUCCUAGGGGAAUAACUGCAAUUUGAGCAACGGAGUCUGACCUUUAUGUGACCUGGGAUGAACAGGUCUUCUCUGUUUUAGCCCAGCAUGAGCAGCAGUUGCGGGGCAGCCAGCCUGAAGUCACUCAACUACCCCUGUGUGAAGGGCUGUGUUCCCCUCCUUUGGCAAUUACACCAUUGUCCUGUAAGAGUUCUCUGAUGUUGACUAAUUUCUUCAAUUUCACAUCCUCAAGUGUGGGACUUUAUAUGUGUUUUAGUAAAUUUUGGUAUUGGUUGAAGUCCUGUUAAGCUUCUGAGGUCCUUAAAUUGCUUCUUGGAGGGUUUUUUUUGUCUUGUAACUUAGGUUAUAAAAGUAGCACUAUAAACAUUAAUUGAACAGCCAUUAAGCAGUAUGGGUGUUUGUUUUGGGUUGAUAGGGGAUAUAAAGCUUCAUACCCUGUGGUGGAAAACAAUUAGAUCUGAUGAUGAACAUGCUAUUAAAUAUAGCAUUACCAGACUUCUAUCAGUUUAACUUUAGAAAAUAGCAACCAGCUGUAGCCAAAGCAUACGCAAGUGAUAGAAAGUCAUAUUUUAAUUGUCAUGUCAUAGCUUGUUAUAAAUAUUGUCAUUUCUAAUGUUUUAUGCUAAUGACAGUGACUAAUGGUAGUCAUUACCUCCAUUCAUUCUCAUAAAAAAAUUCCUCAAGAGGGGAUGAUCAUAACUAGUAUGCUGUUAAAAAUUAAACUCUAUUUUUCUGAGAUAGAGAACAUUAAAAAAACCCAACAUUUCAGUACCAAGAGGUUGCCUAGCUAAUUUAUUUUGUUUUGAGUGUGUUUGACAACUACAGCUGUUCUUAAUUGUGCCAUGAGUUGAACAUAUAUUCAUUUUAGGAAUGUUUUUGGCAUGCUAACGUGUAUACGUGUCAUGUCUUUGUAUGGUCUCUGCAAAAUGGGAUAAAAGGUGAAUCUCACAGUGGUAUACCUGUGGCCAGAAAAAAAACCCUGAUGCUGCCCCUGUAGAGCCUUACCAUUAAGAACACUGAAUUUCCUCAUCCAUUUCUUAUUUCAUUUAUGAGUUCUGCUUACCUGACAGGUACAGAGUACUUCAUUAUGUGCACAAACAGAAAUGCUUAAAUGGAUGGAGCAGCCAUUUACGUCUGAUAGGAGCUAAGUGGGACAUUAAAUUAAUGCCAAACAAGUGAGUGUUCAUUUUAGUUUCAUUAUAAAUGGCCGCAGCACAGCAGUAAAGUGUUGACUCUCAUGUGCUGACAAGUUCUAUAUUUCUUACAAACUUCCCUCCGAGCUCAAUGUGGAAAGACAAAUUCACACUCUGCACGAUGAAAUUAGCAGCAGAUGCAUUAAUAAUUGAAUAAGGAUCUCUGGAGACACACCAUAGUUCAGCAGGAGAGUUGGUGACUGGCUGAUUUUAACUAGAGGCUUCUGUCAUAUGUGUAUAUAUACAUAUAUGCAUAUACAUAAGGCCCAAGUUAAGAGUCGCUGCCUGUAUGCAGCCUUUGGUAUCGAAGUCUUUUAGAAGACUUUGAAGGUGUAUUUGGCAUGUCCACAAGCAUACUGCUAACCAUUACUCUGGACAGUGUGUGGUCUUGCUCAUCCCUCCUUUCUCUGUGACUGUUCUCAAAUUACAACCAAAUUCAACAUAAUCGGUCUGAAUUUACCUCCAGAUGAUGAGUUGAGUGACUGAAAGACUUUCACUGUAUGCAAGACUCUUGCCAUAGACCUCUACACCUGGAGCUCCUAUAGAAAUGAAACAUUUUCCUGAAGUACAAAAUGUAGCUUCUCUCAGAAAAGCAUUAAGAUGCUGAGCUGCCAUCUUCAUUUCCGUCCCUGUAAGCAAAGUAGAUGUCCUUUGAACCACAUGCAUUCCAGAUUCUCAGGUUUGGGAAAGCAAGGAAGGAUGUGUCUUUUGGACAGUAGCAAGAGGAUUGCCAGAAAAAAAAACCUGCUCUUUUUAAGGAGCCACUAUGCCACCAAGGCAAUGAUGCAAUUACCUUAUACUUAAAUUAUGAUUGCUCCUCACACCAAGUAAUAUUAUGCUUGGAAGACAUUGACAAAACAGUGUGACAUCUCAUAGACAGCAAUACACUGGGGUAAUUUCUCAUGGGCUUAAAAUCAGCACUUUAUUGCAGUAGUGCCAAGAGAGUGAUAGCAAUUUUAAUAAUGUAAGAAUUUGUCCCAUUUAGAGGAAAAGUAGCAAAUUUAGCACACUGUUACUAGAAUAACUCCAGAUAGUUGUCAGCUCUACUCACUGUCUGUGCAGACUUCAGUCACUAGUUUCAAGUUGCACAGGUUGAACUGACUUCUGUGUUUUGCUUUCCUCCACUUACAGUUUAUUUUAUAAAUCUCAGGAUCUGGGAAACAGAAAAAUUGAACUUCAAAAUAUCUAUGAGUGUAUUUUCUGGAGUAUCAUCAACUAAAGGAAAGCUAAUCUUAGGUUUCUGUAAUAUAUUGCAAUAUUUUUAAUAAGCUAUAAUAUGAUUUAAUAAAGUGGUACUGUUUUUAAAAACAAUACUCAUCAAUAUAAAUACUAAGUUCUAUUCCUUCUCUUUAGAUAUGCAACUCUUUUUAUUCAGUAACAGUGGAUACAUUACUUAUUCCAUAAGAGCUUGGUAUCAGUCCUGUCCUAAUCAAAAUAUUGGAUUUGAGAUCUUUCUAGUAUAAGAAACAUUUAAACAGUUUCUGUUGUCAGUUGAAAUAGGAGGUAAGUCCCAGAGAUUCAUAUUUGUCUAACAAAAUGAUGUCUCAAUCUAUUAGACACCCUGCAAUAUCCUGCAAGUGUCUUAGCUGAGGAAAGAACAGUCCAUUUUUUGCUUUGUGAUGUUGGACCACACUAGAGAUAAGGGAAUAUCAGAUGAAAGAGUAAACAUGCUAAAAGAAUACCCUGGUUUCAGGAUCAUCUUCUUUUGAGGUUCUUGAAACAAAGAUGUGGAAAUUAAAUUGGAUUUACAUAUACAUUUUUAGUGGACAGAGGUAACUUUUCAGAAUAAUAUUUUUCAUUUAAUUCACACAUGUAUAAUACAUUUCAUUGCUAUUUUUAAAAAGUAAUGUUAUCAUCAUCUGAGGUUUUAAGGAAGAGACUUAAAUAAGGUCACGUACUGGUGAAUGAGAAGAAUACACAUGAAUUGCAUAGAGCAAAGAGGAAUAAAGAAGCUGUAUUAAUGGGGACAGGGAGAGAGAGAUCAUGAGUCAUUAAGUAUGGCUUUAUGCUUCACAUCUCUCUACAGUGGGUUUAAUCCUCUUAACUGCUUUCCAUUCAUUCUGUUAUUCCCAUGGAAUAGAAGUCUAAGUCUGCUCGAGGUUUAGUCAUGAAUGUUUUGCAAUCCAGUAACCUUUGUGUCUUUUGUUAACAUAUACAAGGCACGUCAGAGGUGCCACUGUUUAUUCUUAAAAUCUGAUGUAAUCGCCAAUUUUUGCAACUCCGGGCAGUUAUUCCUGUAGAAGCAGAGAUAUUUCUAAAGCCUUUUAGUGAAGGAAUAAACCAAUGGCUUUCAUUCAGGUUUUGCAAGUCACCGGAUGUUCAAAACACCAAAGCAAAUUAAAAGAACCCCUUCUCUUUUGCUAUCACAGUAAUUUUGCACUUGAAUAUAUGAUGAUUUGCUAAUAUAAAAGCUAUUGAGGAAGAUAGAGUGAUUUUCUUCUAGCACUGCCUUGAAAAGUAGUAAUAAAUGUUGCGUUUCAAAUUACAGCUUUCCUUGAAAUGUGACUUCAUUUAAAAAGAAAAGGCAUCUUGAGCACCAGAUUUUUCUCCCUUUGUGACUUCAAAUCAGAGGUUAGUGAGACUUUAAUCAAGAAAAAAAAAAUAUCUAAUGAACAGCAAUUUGAAACACAGCAUUUGGAAAGGUCAAAAUGGUACAUUACAUCCUUAUUAUCCAAAAGAACAGAUGAGUUUAAUAUCCUGGCAGCAUUUUCCUGUGAAGAAGAUAUUAAACAAGAACUGAAAAUGGCACAAGGUUUGCUCUUCCUUUCUUAUGACAAAGAUUGUAACAAGAUGAUGGAACUAUACAGAAUAAAUCUCUUUCUGCUUUAAUGUUCAGGCUGGGGAUCCUGCCUAGAUUUCAAAAAUCUAAGCUAACCAAAGAGCCAACACACAUGCUAUUUUUUUCAGGUCCUUUACAAGACAUUUUCCUGCCUAUAGGACCCAAUUUCCUAUUUUCUAGUCUUAAACAUGAGAAGACAUAUCAGCAGAAGGUAAUCAGUGCAAUGAGUUUGGGCAAAUACUAUGUUGAACUGCAACAAAAAUUGCACUGCAUCAGCACUGCUUAAAAUGUAGAUUUUUUUUCAACUUCUGUUUGAAUAGACCUAAGAACAGAGGUAAUGUAUCCCAACACACAAUGUAUUGCAUGCGUUCUGCUUUUGAGAGUUCCUGAAGGUAUGGAACUGUUUGAAGGCAAAGGAAUUUGUAGCAUAUCCCAUAGCUUGUUAAAAAUUUGAUUAAUAUAAGGAACUGUCACAUUCGCUUCCUUAAAUCAUGAUCUGCAUGAAGACCCUUCCUUUUUGUUUUGUAGGUCUAAGGAGAGAAAAAAAAAACAACAAACCAACUUCCUGAACUUGAUGUUGUAAUUUAACACUAAAAUACACCAUCAGGGUCUUCAUGUUAAAUCUUAUUAUGACAACUAAAGAAAUGCUAUGCUUAAAAAUCAAAAAAUGUUUGGCAUGCACCUGUAUUAGUUACUUGUAUCCAUACCACAUGAGAUAUGAGGUCUGCUAUUACAUAAGGAAGUAACAAGUUAUAUAUUAAAGGUAUUCAUAAUUAUUAAAGAAAACACUACAUAUUGUUCCAAAAGCUAUCUGUCUUGAAGUAUUGCUGGCUGAAGUAGACCUACAUGGAUUUGCACAAGCUCACAAGUAAAAAUCAUAUCAAACCUUUUUUCCCUUUUUUCCACACCACCUAAGGAAUACAUUUGAAAAAAGAAUUCUCCAUGGUACAUUACAUGCAGCAUCUUGCUGAGAAAAGUCAUUCUGCUUUGGUUGAGUGAGAUAAAAUGAACAUAUCCAGCAUAUGUUUUCAGUGUCUGGAGUGAAUAUAUAUAUAUAUGUGAUCGUGUGUCUCUGCGUGUAUAUAUA